UGGGGGAUAUUGCACAAUGGGCGAAAGCCUGAUGCAGCGACGCCGCGUGGGGGAUGAAGGCCUUCGGGUUGUAAACUUCUUUUGCUCUGAACAAGGCAUGCUAAUGGGUGUGUUGAGUGUAGGGGUUGAUUAGCGCCGGCUAACUACGUGCCAGCAGCCGCGGUAAUACGUAGGGCGCGAGCGUUGUCCGGAAUUAUUGGGCGUAAAGGGCUUGUAGGUGGCUGGUUGCGUCUGUCGUGAAAGCUCAUGGCUUAACUGUGGGUUUGCGGUGGGUACGGGCUGGCUUGAGUGCAGUAGGGGAGGCUGGAAUUCCUGGUGUAGCGGUCGAAUGCGCAGAUAUCAGGAGGAAUACCGGUGGCGAAGGCGGGUCUCUGGGCUGUUACUGACACUGAGGAGCGAAAGCAUGGGGAGCGAACAGG
rnacentral:rRNA from 1 species